rnacentral:rRNA from 1 species
AUACAUGCAAGUCGAACGAGGUCUUCGGACCUAGUGGCGCACGGGUGAGUAACAUGUGGGAAUCUACCUGAAGGUUCGGAAUAACUGCGGGAAACUGUAGCUAAUACCGGAUGUGUCUGCAAAGAGAAAGAUUUAUCGCCUUCAGAUGAGCCCGCACUAGAUUAGCUAGUUGGUGAGGUAAUUGCUCCACCAAGGCUCCGAUCUAUAGCUGAUUUGAGAGGAUGAUCAGCCACACUGGGACUGAGACACGGCCCAGACUCCUACGGGAGGCAGCAGUAGGGAAUAUUGGACAAUGGGGGAAACCCUGAUCCAGCAAUGCCGCGUGAGUGAAGAAGGCCUUCGGGUUGUAAAGCUCUUUCAUCAAUGAUGAUAAUGACAUUAGUUGAAGAAGAAGCCCCGGCUAACUUCGUGCCAGCAGCCGCGGUAAUACGAAGGGGGCUAGCGUUGUUCGGAAUCACUGGGCGUAAAGCGUAUGUAGGCGGAUCAAAAAGUUAGAUGUGAAAUCCCUGGGCUCAACCCAGGAACUGCAUUUAAAACUAGUGAUCUAGAAUUUGGUAGGGGUUAGUAGAAUUUCCAGUGUAGAGGUGAAAUUCGUAGAUAUUGGAAAGAAUACCAGUGGCGAAGGCGACUAACUGGGCCAUUUUUGACGCUGAGAUACGAAAGCGUGGGUAGCAAACAGGAUUAGAUACCCUGGUAGUCCACGCAGUAAACGAUGAGUGCUAGUCGCUGGGACAAUAGUUUC